ACUCCUACGGGAGGCAGCAGUGAGGAAUAUUGGACAAUGGGCGGAAGCCUGAUCCAGCCAUGCCGCGUGCAGGAAGACUGCCCUAUGGGUUGUAAACUGCUUUUAUACGGGAAGAAACCGCCUUACGUGUAGGGCUCUGACGGUACCGUAAGAAUAAGGAUCGGCUAACUCCGUGCCAGCAGCCGCGGUAAUACGGAGGAUCCAAGCGUUAUCCGGAAUCAUUGGGUUUAAAGGGUCCGUAGGUGGACGAUUAAGUCAGAGGUGAAAGUCUGCGGCUCAACCGUAGAAUUGCCUUUGAUACUGGUUGUCUUGAAUCAUUGUGAAGUGGUUAGAAUAUGUAGUGUAGCGGUGAAAUGCAUAGAUAUUACAUAGAAUACCGAUUGCGAAGGCAGAUCACUAACAAUGUAUUGACACUGAUGGACGAAAGCGUGGGUAGCGAACGGGAUUAGAUACCCUGGUAGCGACUG
rnacentral:rRNA from 1 species